AGACUCCUUACCCUCAGAAACUGACAUAAUAAAUGUUUGUUAUUAGCCACCGAGUUUUAAGGUAUAGCUAUACCGCUAUACAUAACUCAUAUUUGUCUUUUCUGUUUUUGCAGACUGGCUUCUCUGCUGACUCAUCUACAUCUGCACAAGGUUGCUUUGCUUGCUUACCAGAAUAUACUGGCUUAGUGUGUGGAUUCCAAGCUCAAAUUUUUGGAGAGAGACUCUUAUCUACUCAGUUUAGACUAAACAAGCUGAAGAGGAGCAAACCCUGUCUUGUAAUGUAACAGCUACCGGGAAGCUGGAGAGAAGCCAGGGAGGGGAGCACUGUGACGACCUAGCCCUCUCCAGGAAGAUGAUCUUGGUGAGUUCCUUAUUAACUCUUCCAGAAAGUGAUUUGAGGCUGAUACUGGACUGCGCUCUUAUGACCUUCUUCCUCUUCCUCCCUACCCCCAGCCUGCCUCUUCUCCUUCCCUCUCCUCUUUUAAAAUAUUGCAUGUUCUGAAAUUUUACAAGCACGUACUUUUUCUAAGCCAUCAUGACUAAAAAUGUGGCCUAUUUACAAGCAAGGCAUUGCUAGAAGCUUAUUAGAAAUGCAAAGUUUCAGCUGAGCAUGGUUGUGCAUGCCUGUAAUCACAGCAUUCUGGGAGGUUGAGGCAGAAAGAUGGUUUGAGUCCAGGAGUUCAAGACCAGCCAGAGCAGCACAGAAAGAC
rnacentral:lncRNA from 1 species